rnacentral:rRNA from 1 species
GGGGGAAACCCUGAUGCAGCGACGCCGCGUGAAGGAAGAAGUAUUUCGGUAUGUAAACUUCUAUCAGCAGGGAAGAAGAUGACGGUACCUGAGUAAGAAGCACCGGCUAAAUACGUGCCAGCAGCCGCGGUAAUACGUAUGGUGCAAGCGUUAUCCGGAUUUACUGGGUGUAAAGGGAGCGUAGACGGAUAGGCAAGUCUGGAGUGAAAACCCAGGGCUCAACCUUGGGACUGCUUUGGAAACUGCAGAUCUGGAGUGCCGGAGAGGUAAGCGGAAUUCCUAGUGUAGCGGUGAAAUGCGUAGAUAUUAGGAGGAACACC